rnacentral:lncRNA from 13 species
GCCUGAUAUUCAUACUAUACUCCUUCCUUUCUUCAACCAUUUUGCUUGCCAUGUCCUAUCAUUUUUACCAAAUACAUCUCUCUUAAACUCAGUUACAGGUGAUAAUUGAAAAGAAGCUUUGCCAGAUCAACGGACUCCUAAGUUUCUUAUCUUUUCUUCCAGGUAGAAUCCCAUCCUUGGUUCCUGACUAGUAGUAUAUAUAGAAGAACAGUAAUGGAAAUACAACUCCCUGAAGCCACAUGGAACUGAUUACUCCUGCAAAGAGCUAAAACAUUUGCAAGGUGAAAGAAGAAAAGAGAAAUGAGGAAAACAUCUGGG